rnacentral:rRNA from 1 species
AGAGUUUGAUCCUGGCUCAGGAUGAACGCUGGCGGCGUGCCUAACACAUGCAAGUCGAACGUGAGAGAGUAGCAAUAUUCUUGAAAGUGGCGAACGGGUGAGUAACACGUGGGUAACCUGCCCUGAAGUGGGGGAUAACAACUAGAAAUGGUUGCUAAUACCGCAUGAGGCUGAGAUGACGGGAGUCAUUUUAGCGAAAACUCUGGUGCUUCAGGAGGGGCCUGCGGCCGAUUAGCUAGUUGGCGGGGUAAGAGCCCACCAAGGCGACGAUCGGUAGCUGGUCUGAGAGGACGAUCAGCCACACGGGAACUGAGAAACGGUCCCGACUCCUACGGGGGGCAGCAGUGAGGAAUAUUGGGCAAUGGGCGAAAGCCUGACCCAGCAACGCCGCGUGGAGGACGAAGGCCUUCGGGUCGUAAACUCCUUUUACGGGGGAAGAGGAAGGACGGUACCCCGAGAAUAAGUCACGGCUAACUACGUGCCAGCAGCCGCGGUAAUACGUAGGUGACGAGCGUUAUCCGGAAUUACUGGGCGUAAAGCGCACGCAGGUGGCGCCUUAAGUCUGACGUGAAAUCUCUCGGCUUAACCGGGAGGGGUCGUUGGAGACUGAGGUGCUUGAGGCGAUGAGAGGGGUGUAGAAUUCCCGGUGUAGUGGUGGAAUGCGUAGAUAUCGGGAGGAAUACCAGUGGCGAAAGCGACACCCUGGCGUUAGCCUGACGCUCAUGUGCGAAAGCGUGGGGAGCGAACGGGAUUAGAUACCCCGGUAGUCCACGCUGUAAACGAUGAAUACUAGGUGUGGGUCGAGUGAAAUCGGUCUGUGCCGAAGCAAACGCGCUAAGUAUUCCGCCUGGGGAGUACGGCCGCAAGGCUAAAACUCAAAGGAAUUGACGGGGGCCCGCACAAGCAGCGGAGCGUGUGGUUUAAUUCGAUUCAACGCGAAGAACCUUACCUAGGCUUGAAAGGCAAGUGACAGGGUGUGAAAGCACCCCUCCAGCAAUGGCACUUGUACAGGUGCUGCAUGGCUGUCGUCAGCUCGUGCCGUGAGGUGUUGGGUUAAGUCUCGCAACGAGCGCAACCCCUACCAUUAGUUGCCAUCAGGUUAUGCUGGGCACUCUAAUGGGACUGCCUACGCAAGUAGUGAGGAAGGUGGGGAUGACGUCAAGUCAGCAUGGCCCUUACGUCUAGGGCUACACACGUGCUACAAUGGGCGCUACAACGGGUUGCUAAGCCGCAAGGUGGAGCCAAUCCCUAAAAGGCGUCCUCAGUUCGGAUUGGAGUCUGAAACUCGACUCCAUGAAGCUGGAAUUGCUAGUAAUCGCGGAUCAGCACGCCGCGGUGAAUACG